AGGGAGCUUCCGCAAGGACACUCGUAGAGGUGCUGCAUGGCUGUCGUCAGCUCGUGUCGUGAGAUGUUGGGUUAAGUCCCGCAACGAGCGCAACCCUUGUCUGCUGUUGCCAUCACGUUAUGGUGGGCACUCUGCAGAGACUGCCGGUGAUAAACCGGAGGAAGGUGGGGAUGACGUCAAGUCAGCAUGGCCUUUAUGUCUGGGGCUACACACGUGCUACAAUGGCCGAUACAAACCGUCGCGAGCCCGCAAGGGGGAGCUAAUCGGAGAAAGUCGGUCUCAGUUCGGAUUGCAGGCUGCAACUCGCCUGCAUGAAGUUGGAAUCGCUAGUAAUCGCGGAUCAGCACGCCGCGGUGAAUACGUUCCCGGGCCUUGUACACACCGCCCGUCACAUCACGAAAGCCGGUUGUACUAGAAGUCGCCGCGCUAACCCGCAAGGGAGGCAAGCGCCUAAGGUAUGGUCGGUGAUUGGGGUGAAGUCGUAACAAGGUAACCGU
rnacentral:rRNA from 1 species